rnacentral:rRNA from 1 species
AUGGGCAACAGCGCACUUCUCUUCCAUGGCGAGUGCCAGUCCGAGACGUCGUCGACGUGCUCCACCGAGAGCGCCAUGUCGGCCCACAAUUUUGUGGUGCGUGAUUACCCGCUGCUCGAGGGCAUCAGCGCCGGCAAGUUUGUCAGGUCGAGCACAUUCAACGCUGGCGGCUACAUCUGGACGAUCAGGUUCUACCCCAACGGGGAGCUGAAGGACAGAUCUAGUGACGCGGCCUCAUGUUUUCUUUAUUGUGCCAACCCAGCGAAGGACGUGAGGGCACGGUACUCGUUAAACGUGUUGGAGAAAUUAGACGGGGAUGUACAGGUGACAACCUUCAGUUGCGAAGAGGAUACAUUUUCUCCAACACACUACAGUUGGGGGUAUCGCAAUUUCGUCUCGAGAUCGAAGCUUAAAACUUUAUCGGACGCCAACAAUGGCUGCUUCACGGUGAGAUGCGUUCUCAUGGUUAUACAUGAACCUCGAACGCGCAACAGGAGACCUAUCGUAGUGCCAGCGCCGAGCAUGCGGGAGAGCCUCGAGCACAUGCUCAUGGAUGGAGAAGGUGCAGAUGUGACGUUCAGCGUGAGCCACCAGCUGUUCAAUGCCCAUCGUUGUGUGCUGGCUGCACGUUCUCAGGUUUUCAAGGCCGAGCUCUUUGGUCCGUUGAAGGAAAAUACGACGCGGCACAUCGAGGUCGACGACAUGGAGCCCCAAGUCUUUGAGGUGCUUCUUCACUUCAUGUACACAGAUACUAUGCCAGAUGAUGAUGAAGACAAAGGCAAAAUUGAAAGGCUACAACACUUGCUUGUUGCUGCGGAUAGGUACGGAGUGGAUAGGUUGAAGGUCAUGUGUGAAGACAAGCUCUAUGAGGGCAUCAAUGUCGAGACGGUCGCGACCACGUUGCUUCUGGCAGAGCAGCAUCACUGCAAGGAUCUUAAGGAAGCUUGCAUUCAGUUUAUAAGUUCACCAUCGGAUAUACUACGGGCUGUCAUGGCCACCGAUGGAUUCAAGCAACUCGUAGCUAGUUGUCCUUUGCUCAUGGAGGAUAUACUAAAGAGUGUGUCCUACAACUAG